UAACAAAAAUCCAUGAUCUUGCCUAUCACUGACAGAUACAAAUGCAUCUUCUAAAUGCUGUGCUCGAGUCAGUAGACUAGGAGGUUAAGAAGCCAGCUGCUGAUUUUCCUCAGAACAAAAGGCAGAGAUCAUUUUAAAGCUGCCCUUUGAAGAAAAGUCACUUAAGCUCAUUGGAAGCUGGAACAGACACAGCCAUUCUCAGGCUGCCUCCACAUCUGGAUGUGCUCCAGGAAGCUACACAACUAAAUUCAGGCCCCUCUUGCCCAGAGAAAGAAACUACUCUGCCCUGGUGAGGCCUCAUCUGGAGCACUGCGUCCAGUUCUGGGCUCCCCAGUACAAAAAGACAAGGACCUCUUGGAAAGAGUCCAGCAGAGGGCCACAAAGAUGGUGAAGGGCCUGGAGCAUCUCUGCUAUGAGGAAAGGCUGAGUGAGCUGGGUCUGUUCAGCCUUGAGAAAAAAAGACUGAGAGGGGACCUG